rnacentral:misc_RNA from 1 species
GGAAGGAUCAUCAAAGAGUAUACAACUUGUUGCACAUAUACUCGUACGUAUCAAGGUGCUGGGCGACCACCGUUGCCAACACUGCGAUAUUAAUACCCGACUCGCUUCAGUUGGGUUUAAAGGGAAAACGGAAUCAUUCCAUGACGGUGCUUAUGCUGGAUUGCCAAGUCGACAGUGUUGUUCCGUCUGUCGUCGCACAUUGGCUGUCUGGUGGUGCGGCUGUCCGCUCACGCUGCGUGAGAGGGAGUUGCAAGCUCAAUGAGCGCCCAUUCGGCGCCGCCGUCAACUACACACAAUACCAUGAAACACGAACUUUUAACACAAAUUAUUCCGAGCGGUGGAUCACUCGGCUCAUGGGUCGAUGAAAAGCGCAGCCAAAUGCGUGACUUAAUGCGAAUUGCAGACACAUUGAGCAUCGACAUCUUGAACGCACAUGGCGGCAUCGGGGUCUCGAUCCCGAUGCCACGCCUGUUCGAGGGUUGCACAAGCAAUGAAGGGCAGUUGCCGAUUGUGGGGGUUUGCACUUUUGUAAUGACUGGGCAAAUGCGCGCUCUCGGAUGACAAAACUGGUGCGCGGUGGAUGUGUCGCGGUCUGUUCUCUAACGAUUCUUGAGUUCGGAUGGUGGCUGUCUGGCUGCAUUAGAUUCUGCAUUGGCGAUACACAGAGCAACUAACUACUACCAACGGUGGUUGCGCUGUCCAGUAGCCUGCUUCGCGCUGUGACAAGUGCCGACGAAAGCCAUUCGUCUGCUUCGCACUUGGAACGCAUAUGGUCGUGGGGCGGGUGAAAAUGGACGGUGCUUUUUACAAGUUCAACCUCGGAUCAGACGUGACUACCCGCUGAAUUUAAGCAUAUCACUAGGCGGAGGAAAAGAAACUAACCAGUAUUCCCUGAGUAACGGCGAGUGAAACGGGAAAAGCCCAGCACCGAAUCCCGCAGUGCUUCACUGUUGGGACAUGUGGUGUUAAGGUGGUGCUAUCCGGCAUCGUUGCGUGCUCUAAGUUCUCUUGACCGAGACCACAGACCAUAGAAGGUGCGAGUCCUGUGAGGGUGGGCGGCGUGUCGGUGUGCGCUACCGUGGAGUCGAGUUGCCUGAGAUCGCAGCUCAAAGCAGGUGGUAAGCCUCACCUAAGGCUAAAUACAACCAUGAGACCGAUAGCAAACAAGUACUGUGAAGGAAAGUUGCAAAGAACUUUGAAGAGAGAGUUCAAGAGGACGUGAAACUGCUCGGAAGGAAACAGGUAGAGCCACUGAUAGUGUGCGUGUUACAGGCUGGCGACUGGUGGCCGCGUGCAUUGCGAUUCGUAAGAGUGCGGUGUGCGUGCGCUGUUGGUUGUCGGUUGCAUUUCACGUGCAUGCGCGCCGAGGGCGAUCGGUUGUUCCUUGUGUGCGCGUCGGUGGACGGGACUCCCUGGAGUUACCAGCCGGCGUAGUGCACUUGUGUAACGGCUAAUUGUUUGUAUGCCGGCGGUGCGCAUUCGGGUGCUUCGGUUGUUGUCCGUGUGGGCAAGCGCUUGCGCAAGCUUGUGCGGGUGGUGACUGACGUGCUCAUUUGCCGUCUGGUGUCGUCUCGGUGUACAAGGUGGCCACCUACCUGACCCGUCUUGAAACACGGACCAAGGAGUCUAACAUGCCUGCGAGUGAAUGGGUGACAAAACCCAGACGCGUAAUGAAAGUGAAGUCGGCUUGCCGAUUGACACACGACCCGUUCCUCGUGGGCGGUGCAGUGUGGUGUCGUCAUGAUUGCUUGCAAUGUGGCGAACACAGAGCAGUCAUGUUGGGACCCGAAAGAUGGUGAACUAUGCCUGAGCAGGACGAAGCCAGAGGAAACUCUGGUGGAGGUCCGAAGCGGUUCUGACGUGCAAAUCGAUCGUCAGACUUGGGUAUAGGGGCGAAAGACUAAUCGAACCAUCUAGUAGCUGGUUCCCUC